rnacentral:rRNA from 1 species
GGAUACGGUUAACGGAGCGAAAGCGACGUUCAACCUCAAAAGAAGCAGAGGGGGCUUAGUGGUGGGGUGACUGCGUACCUUUUGUAUAAUGGGUCAGCGACUUAUAUUCUGUAGCAAGGUUAACCGAAUAGGGGAGCCGGAGGGAAACCGAGUCUUAACCGGGCGUUAAGUUGCAGGGUAUAGACCCGAAACCCGGUGAUCUAGCCAUGGGCAGGUUGAAGGUUGGGUAACACUAACUGGAGGACCGAACCGACUAAUGUUGAAAAAUUAGCGGAUGACCUGUGGCUGGGGGUGAAAGGCCAAUCAAACCGGGAGAUAGCUGGUUCUCCCCGAAAGCUAUUUAGGUAGCGCCUCGUGAAUUCAUCUCCGGGGGUAGAGCACUGUUUCGGCUAGGGGGCCAUCCCGGCUUACCAACCCGAUGCAAACUGCGAAUACCGGAGAAUGUUAUCACGGGAGACACACGGCGGGUGCUAACGUCCGUCGUGAAGAGGGAAACAACCCAGACCGCCAGCUAAGGUCCCAAAGUCAUGGUUAAGUGGGAAACGAUGUGGGAAGGCCCAGACAGCCAGGAUGUUGGCUUAGAAGCAGCCAUCAUUUAAAGAAAGCGUAAUAGCUCACUGGUCGAGUCGGCCUGCGCGGAAGAUGUAACGGGGCUAAACCAUG